rnacentral:lncRNA from 1 species
CAAAGAUAAAGAAAAAAUCUUGAAAGAAGCCAGAGGAACAAAACACUCUGCCUAGAGUAGAAGAAAGAUAAGAAUUAAUUUGACUUCUCAGAAACCAUACAAGCAAGAAGACAGUAGAGUGAAAUAAUCAAUUUUUGAGAGAAAAAAGCCACCAAUCUAGAAUUCUGUACCUUGUGAAAUUAUCCUUCAAAAGUGAAGGAGAAAUAAAGACCUUCUCAGACAAACACAAAUUGAGGGAAUUUGUUGCUAGUAGAUCUGACUUGCAAGAAAUGUUGAAAGAAGUUCUUUGAAGAGCAGCAAAAUGAGAGAUCAGAAACUCAGAUCUACAUAAAGGAAGGAAGAGCAUCAAAAAAGGAAUAAGUGGAGUUGUCUUCCAGGGUGGCUGUACCAUUUUGCAUUCCUCCCAGCAAUGUAUUGGAACAAUGUUCUAACAUGUGAAAGCACCCUCGUCAGCACUUGGAUAGAACCUGAUAAACGACAAGCAUUCUGCAAACAUCCCAUAGAAAUCACCUCCUAGAUUCUGAGCCAGUGACAUUUGCUGAGUUCUGCACUAUCAACCGGAUCUCUUUGUUUUCUUCUUCUGUUUUGAAUCCACACCUAAAAUGGGACAAAAUCUACCAGCCAGAAUAACCUGAUUGAGAAAUCAGCCAUAACUGGUUUUCUUGGCUGUAGACUCUUCAGGAAAGAAUGUGAAGUAUUUUUCCCACAUCCUCCCAGGAGGGCCACCAGGGGCUCCAGUCCUGGAGGUCGAGGAGCAUUGGAGCUGGUUCUGCAGUUGGGGAGUGGGAGUAGCCUUACCUGUCGGACAGUGACUUCCAGUAUCUGAGAAGAGGGUGGGAGAUCAUGAGCGUCCACAAGUGGCAGAAGUUGAGAUCCAAAUGGAACACACACACCCUCCCACCUCCCAGGAUGGCAAAACCUGGUACAGAGAUGGCUGUAAGGAGGAGGCUGGAAGAAAGACCACUAAGUGGCCAGUUAUUGGGCAAAGCCACUGUGAGUGGGCAGCUCACCAGCCUGCCUGGAGAAGCAGUGCCCACAGACAGGAAGCACCAGCAUUCAGCAAGGAGCACAAGGAGCAACUGUAACUGUGGCCAUCUCUACUGAAUAAGGACCAGCUGCCCCAGUUCUACAAGAUCGAGUCCUUUGCUUGUUUGGGAGAUUUUUUGUGCCUUUUGUUUUUGUAAAAUCCAACGUUCCGAGGGAAGAAGCCCUAAUAAUGACAUUAAAUUUCUCACUAACUGUGGAUGGGACUUGGGACCAGAUUUAAAUAAACUUGGACAAAUAAAGAACAUUGGCAUUUUGUUUCCCA